CAGUCGUGAGUACCCGCUG
rnacentral:rRNA from 1 species